GACGGAGGAUGCAAGUGUUAUCCGGAAUCACUGGGCGUAAAGCGUCUGUAGGUGGUUUAAUAAGUCAACUGUUAAAUCUUGAGGCUCAACCUCAAAAUCGCAGUCGAAACUAUUAGGCUAGAGUAUAGUAGGGGUAAAGGGAAUUUCCAGUGGAGCGGUGGAAAUGCGUAGAGAUUGGAAAGAACACCGAUGGCGAAGGCACUUUACUGGGCUAUUACUAACACUCAGAGACGAAAGCUAGGGUAGCAAAUGGG
rnacentral:rRNA from 1 species